ACACAUGCAAGUCGAACGGCAGCACGGUCUAGUUUACUAGAUGGGUGGCGAGUGGCGGACGGGUGAGUAAUGCGCAGGAAUAUACCUUAAAGAGGGGGAUAACUUGGGGAAACUCAAGCUAAUACCGCAUACACUCUGAGGAGGGAAGCUGGGGACCUUCGGGCCUGGCGCUUUAAGAUUAGCCUGCGUCCGAUUAGCUAGUUGGUAGGGUAAAGGCCUACCAAGGCGACGAUCGGUAGCUGGUCUGAGAGGAUGACCAGCCACACUGGAACUGAGACACGGUCCAGACUCCUACGGGAGGCAGCAGUGGGGAAUAUUGGACAAUGGGGGGAACCCUGAUCCAGCAAUGCCGCGUGUGAGAAGAAGGCCUGAGGGUUGUAAAGCACUUUCAGUGGGGAGGAGGAUUGACAGGUUAAGAGCUAGUUAAUUGGACGUUACCCACAGAAGGAGCACCGGCUAACUCCGG
rnacentral:rRNA from 1 species